CAUAGGUUAAUGAGGCGAACCGGGGGAACUGAAACAUCUAAGUACCCCGAGGAAAAGAAAUCAACCGAGAUUCCCCCAGUAGCGGCGAGCGAACGGGGAGCAGCCCAGAGCCUGAAUCAGUGUGUGUGUUAGUGGAAGCGUCUGGAAAGGCGCGCGAUACAGGGUGACAGCCCCGUACACAAAAAUGCACAUACUGUGAGCUCGAUGAGUAGGGCGGGACACGUGGUAUCCUGUCUGAAUAUGGGGGGACCAUCCUCCAAGGCUAAAUACUCCUGACUGACCGAUAGUGAACCAGUACCGUGAGGGAAAGGCGAAAAGAACCCCGGCGAGGGGAGUGAAAAAGAACCUGAAACCGUGUACGUACAAGCAGUGGGAGCACGCUUAGGCGUGUGACUGCGUACCUUUUGUAUAAUGGGUCAGCGACUUAUAUUCUGUAGCAAGGUUAACCGAAUAGGGGAGCCGAAGGGAAACCGAGUCUUAACUGGGCGUUAAGUUGCAGGGUAUAGACCCGAAACCCGGUGAUCUAGCCAUGGGCAGGUUGAAGGUUGGGUAACACUAACUGGAGGACCGAACCGACUAAUGUUGAAAAAUUAGCGGAUGACUUGUGGCUGGGGGUGAAAGGCCAAUCAAACCGGGAGAUAGCUGGUUCUCCCCGAAAGCUAUUUAGGUAGCGCCUCGUGAAUUCAUCUCCGGGGGUAGAGCACUGUUUCGGCAAGGGGGUCAUCCCGACUUACCAACCCGAUGCAAACUGCGAAUACCGGAGAAUGUUAUCACGGGAGACACACGGCGGGUGCUAACGUCCGUCGUGAAGAGGGAAACAACCCAGACCGCCAGCUAAGGUCCCAAAGUCAUGGUUAAGUGGGAAACGAUGUGGGAAGGCCCAGACAGCCAGGAUGUUGGCUUAGAAGCAGCCAUCAUUUAAAGAAAGCGUAAUAGCUCACUGGUCGAGUCGGCCUGCGCGGAAGAUGUAACGGGGCUAAACCAUGCACCGAAGCUGCGGCAGCGACGCUGAUGCGUUGUUGGGUAGGGGAGCGUUCUGUAAGCCUGUGAAGGUGUGCUGUGAGGCAUGCUGGAGGUAUCAGAAGUGCGAAUGCUGACAUAAGUAACGA
rnacentral:rRNA from 1 species